CAGGGGUUAGCAGGUUCUGUUGGGAACCAGCAAUAUCUUCCUUCUCAGCAGGGUGCUAACAUGAGACCGCCUCAAUCACAGGGGUUCGCAGGUUCUGUUGCGAACCAGCAAUAUCUACCUUCGCAGCAGAAUGUUAACAUGAGACCACCUCAAUCACAGGGGUUAUCAGGUCCUAUUUCAAACCAGCAAUUUCUACCUUUGCAGCAGAAUAUUAACACGAGACCGCCUCAAUCACAGGGGUUAGCAGGUCCUGUUGGGAACCAGCAGUUUCUACCUUCGCAGCAGAGUCCUACUAUGAGACCACCUCAAUCACAGGGAUUUUCAGGUUUUGUUGCAAAUCCACAAUAUCUUCCUUCCCAGCAGAAUCCAAACAUGAGACCAACUCAAUCCAUGCCAACUGUCAGUGCUCCUGGUCCACAACAAUUCAUGCCUGCUGGUAACACUCCUCGUCCAC
rnacentral:lncRNA from 1 species